ACGAGUUCACAAUAGAACCGGUGUUGCUCAGAAUAAAAACGUAUUUUUGGUCUUCUUUUUGUUUAAAGAAGGCAAAUGACAACCGAGUAUGGAUUCCAGAUAAACCAUCUGGAAUUAUGAUGAAUGCUCGUGUGGAAACGAUUUGUUUAUGUACUUUGAGUUUGUUUAUAUUUUGUAAUCAGUUUGUCGUUUUCGUGGAUUAGAAACCUGUUAAUAAUACGAACCAAAAUACAUCAAAUCAUAAUGGAAGUGAGAAGAAUGAACCUCGUCGUCAUGAACACAACAUCAAAGUGGCGAAAUUAGAUUUUGAACAUAUUGCAAGGCCUUUUAUCAUAACAGUAUGGGUGUUGCUCGCCACUCUACUCAAAGUCGGAUUUCAUAUGAUCUCAAGAUUGUCAAAAGUUGUACCUGAAUCAUGGGGAGCUACAAGUUCCAUUUAUCCAAACCUGCUAUCAGUGUUAGUGUGUUCGAGAAAUUCAUUCUCAAUUAUAUCUUUCAGCAUGGUUAUUUUGCUUGGCGUUCUUCUUGGAUUAAUUUUACACUAUUCCAACUUCAAAAGUGUUGCAGAUAUUCCAUUUUUCAACUCAAGAAUAUUCUUUCUGUUCAUGUUGCCACCAAUUGUUUUGGAUGCUGGCUACUUUCUUCAUACAAGGGCAUUUUUUGAUAAUAUGGGGACAAUUUUACUCUAUGCUGUCGUGGUAUGUUAUAUCCUUCAUGAUUUAUUUUCUCAAUCAUAAGUACCGUAAGUUUGGUGGAAUGUUAGGUGCUUGUUGGCAAUAUACAUCACGGCUGUUGGAACAUCGAUAAUUUUGGGUGACUGAUAUUCCUAUAAGCAUGUUAUAAUCUGUAGACAACGAUUUUAAAAAAAACUUAAAUAUGAAAUUAUCCUGCAUACAUGAAUUAAUGAUUUUACAACAGCAAUGUAGAUUAUAAGCUCUUUCAAAUACUCUUAUCAUGUGAAAAUAUGAAUAGGUUAUUUGUACUAAUAAGAAAGAUUGAGCAAA